AUGUGGCGAGACCUAUGGAAGAAACUAUGCGACAAAAUCCAUAACCCCGACUGCGGAUUUCUGCAGGUUCUGAUGAAUGAUACAAAUUUUAUCUACUAUACAGGGAGAAUUUAUCUUGUUGAUGAGUACAUAGACAGUUUUAUUGUCUUAGGACAAACUGUCCUCCGUACUCACGGCUUCAAGACAAUUCACCAUGAUCAAAAGGGAGUGUUGAUUGAUGAUGUGGAAAUGCGAGAUGUGUUGGAUCUACCGUAA